rnacentral:rRNA from 1 species
GAUGAACGCUGGCGGCGUGCCUAAUACAUGCAAGUCGAGCGGACCAAAGAGAGCUUGCUCUCUGAGGUUAGCGGCGGACGGGUGAGUAACACGUGGGUAACCUGCCUGUAAGACGGGGAUAACUUCGGGAAACCGAAGCUAAUACCGGAUGAUAAAGAGAAACGCCUGUUUCUUUUUCGAAAGUCGGCCUUGUGCUGACGCUUACGGAUGGGCCCGCGGCGCAUUAGCUAGUUGGUGAGGUAACGGCUCACCAAGGCGACGAUGCGUAGCCGACCUGAGAGGGUGAUCGGCCACACUGGGACUGAGACACGGCCCAGACUCCUACGGGAGGCAGCAGUAGGGAAUCUUCGGCAAUGGACGAAAGUCUGACCGAGCAACGCCGCGUGAGCGAUGAAGGCCUUCGGGUCGUAAAGCUCUGUUGUCAGAGAAGAACAAGUACCGGAGUAACUGCCGGUACCUUGACGGUACCUGACCAGAAAGCCACGGCUAACUACGUGCCAGCCGCCGCCGUAAGAC